GGGAGACACCAUGAUCAAGCAGGUGGUUUUCCCAGGGCGAGGCUCAUCCCUUGCAAUCUGGGUGUGCUGACCCCUGUGAUUUCCCCAGAUGUGGGAAACUUG
rnacentral:snRNA from 1 species